rnacentral:tRNA from 1 species
UAAAGGGUAGUAUAGUUAUGUACGUAAAGCUGUUAACUUUAAGGCAUGGGGUUACUUUCUCAUUCCUUUAC